AGUGAACGCUGGCGGUAGGCCUAACACAUGCAAGUCGAACGGCAGCACAGUAAGAGCUUGCUCUUACGGGUGGCGAGUGGCGGACGGGUGAGGAAUACAUCGGAAUCUACUUUUUCGUGGGGGAUAACGUAGGGAAACUUACGCUAAUACCGCAUACGACCUACGGGUGAAAGCAGGGGAUCUUCGGACCUUGCGCGAUUGAAUGAGCCGAUGUCGGAUUAGCUAGUUGGCGGGGUAAAGGCCCACCAAGGCGACGAUCCGUAGCUGGUCUGAGAGGAUGAUACGCCACAGGGGAAGUGAGACACGGUCCAGACCCCUAGGGGAGGCAGGAGUGGGGAAUUUUGGACAAUGGGCGCAAGCCUGACCCAGCCAUCCCGGGGGGGUGAGGAAGGCCUUCGGGUUGUAAAGCCCUUUUGUUGGGAAAGAAAAGCAGCAGGUUAAAACCCCGCUGUUCUGACGGUACCCAAAGAAUAAGCCCCGGCUAACUGCGU
rnacentral:rRNA from 1 species